rnacentral:rRNA from 1 species
AGCAGAGCACUCCUACGGGAGGCAGCAGUGGGGAAUAUGGACAAGUGGGGAAACCCUGAUCCAGCCAUGCCGCGUGUGUGGAAGAAGGCCUUCGGGUUGAUAAAGCACUUCAGUGGGGAGGAAAGGUUGAUGGUUAAUACCUAUCAGCUGUGACGUUACCCACAGAAGAAGCACCGGCUAACUCCGUGCCAGCAGCCGCGGUAAUACGGAGGGUGCAAGCGUUAAUCGGAAUUACUGGGCGUAAAGCGUGCGCAGGCGGUUUGUUAAGCGAGAUGUGAAAGCCCCGGGCUCAACCUGGGAACUGCAUUUCGAACUGGCAAACUAGAGUGUGAUAGAGGGUGGUAGAAUUUCAGGUGUAGCGGUGAAAUGCGUAGAGAUCUGAAGGAAUACCGAUGGCGAAGGCAGCCACCUGGGUCAACACUGACGCUCAUGUACGAAGCGUGGGAGCAAACGGGAUUAGAUACCCUGGUAG